AUAUACAAGAUGGACACUACAAGGAAAUCUGCUCUCACAAUUGUAUUCUUAUUGGCUUUCUUCAUCCUUACAUCAGAUAUGUGCAUGAAAUCGGAAGCUUGUAAAAUUGAUGGAGAAUGUCAAUCUGAAUGUCCACCUGGAAAACAUGGAUGUUGUAUUAGUGGGCGGUGUUGGUGUUUUGUUGCGCCACCAUCUUCUACUCUUAAUAUUCCUGGUGUAACACCCCAAAUUGUAAAUUGUGUUUAGUUUAAUAUUUUCAAUUGAUCUAAAAGGUGUCAGAUCAACAACAAGAGUUAAAAUAUAUAAUUUUCAUGGAUAGUUGCAGAAGGAAUGUUAGUGUGAUCUUAAUAAAUAAUAAUAUCUCAAAUUUCAAGUUCACUACUUGAAUAUUGUGAG